GGGUAUCCAGGAAUGGCUGAAAUCACAUCUGAUGACAGAAAUUACAGUUGGGAAUGCAAAAGGGGUCUUAAAGAAGUUCCUCAUUGAGCCAUUUGUUCCUCAUAUUCAGGAAGAGGAGUUUUAUGUGUGUAUAUACGCAAGCCGGGAAGGCAGUCAUGUUCUGUUCCAUCAUGAGGGUGGGGUGGAGAUU